rnacentral:rRNA from 1 species
GGCGGCAUGCCUAACACAUGCAAGUCGAACGCGUGUAGAAAUACACGAGUGGCGGACGGGUGAGUAACGCGUGGGAACCUGCCCAAUGGUGGGGAAUAACUGCGGGAAACUGCAGCUAAUACCCUAUGCUCCCUACGGGGGAAAGAUUUAUCGCCAUUGGAGGGGCCCGCGUCGGAUUAGCUAGUUGGCGGGGUAAUGGCCACCAAGGCUACGAUCCGUAGCUGGUCUGAGAGGAUGAUCAGCCACACUGGGACUGAGAUACGGCCCAGACUCCUACGGGAGGCAGCAGUGGGGAAUAUUGGACAAUGGGGGAAACCCUGAUCCAGCAAUGCCGCGUGAGUGAAGAAGGCCUUAGGGUUGUAAAGCUCUUUCGGCGGGGACGAUGGUGACGGUACCCGCAGAAGAAGCCCCGGCUAACUUCGUGCCAGCAGCCGCGGUAAUACGAAGGGGGCUAGCGUUGUUCGGAAUCACUGGGCGUAAAGGGCGCGUAGGCGGCGCGACAAGUCAGGCGUGAAAGCCCCGGGCUCAACCCGGGAAUUGCGCCUGAUACUGUCGUGCUUGAGGCCGGGAGAGGAUGGCGGGAUUCCCAGUGUAGAGGUGAAAUUCGUAGAUAUUGGGAAGAACACCGGUGGCGAAGGCGGCCAUCUGGACCGGUUCUGACGCUGAGGCGCGAAAGCGUGGGGAGCAAACAGGAUUAGAUACCCUAGUAGUCCACGCCGUAAACGAUGAGUGCUAGACGUCGGGGGGUUCACCCUCCGGUGUCGCAGCUAACGCUUUAAGCACUCCGCCUGGGGAGUACGGUCGCAAGAUUAAAACUCAAAGGAAUUGACGGGGGCCCGCACAAGCGGUGGAGCAUGUGGUUUAAUUCGAAGCAACGCGAAGAACCUUACCAGCCCUUGACUUGGGGAGUGUGGGUCGCAGAGACGUGACCCUUCAGUUCGGCUGGCUCCCACACAGGUGCUGCAUGGCUGUCGUCAGCUCGUGUCGUGAGAUGUUGGGUUAAGACCCGCAACGAGCGCAACCCUCAUCUUCAGUUGCCAUCAUUAAGUUGGGCACUCUGAAGAAACUGCCGGUGACAAGCCGGAGGAAGGCGGGGAUGACGUCAAGUCCUCAUGGCCCUUACGGGCUGGGCUACACACGUGCUACAAUGGCGGUGACAGUGGGAUGCAAGGGGGCGACCCCGCGCCAAUCUCAAAAAGCCGUCUCAGUUCGGAUUGUACUCUGCAACUCGAGUGCAUGAAGUCGGAAUCGCUAGUAAUCGUGGAUCAGCACGCCACGGUGAAUACGUUCCCGGGCCUUGUACACACCGCCCGUCACACCAUGGGAGUUGGUUUUACCCGAAGCCGGUGCGCUAACCGCAAGGAGGCAGCCGACCACGGUAGGGUCAGCGACUGGGGUGAAGUCGUAACAAGGUA